AAACCUGCUUGCCUCAUGUUCCAUUGGCAGCAGUGAAUAAGAACAUAAAACAAAAAAAGUGCUUGUGUGUAUCGUGUGUUUCAUAUACGAUCAGAAGAAAAACAAAGAGGAAGGGGAAGCCAAAGUCAGGCUCCUCAUCGAAAAAGAUGGCUGCGAAGCAACACGGAAACCCCUUUUCCCUCCUCUAUGUGGUGCUUGAUGGAGGACUGAAACCGAGUAACAAAAGCAAGUGCAGUGGUGAGGGGUAGUCUUCGGGGAUGUUACAGCCGACCAAUAGCAGUGUCGUUGGUCCAGAUGAGGCUAGUGGUGGUCGAACUCCAUUCUUUCUCAAUCUUAAAUCUCCAAUUCUUGUCAUGGAAGGUCCAAUAUAUACAUACUCAUACUCAACAGGGAAUAAAGUCCAUCACUCUUGGACAUAGAAAACCUCCUUACCUUUCUCCUAUCCAUGGCAAUGGAAUCUUCAGAUCAAAUGGUCAUUUUUGGGUCAAUCAAAGGAAAAUUAUUGUCGCCAUGCUCCUUAUUUUUUCCUACUUAACCUUUUAUUUGCAAAAAUUACCAAUUACCUGAUACAUGUUACUUAUUUAUCUGUUGACAUAUUUUGUGUUGAUUGGCUGGGGGAUGGUGGGGUUAAUCAUACUUUUUUGAUUUGAUGAUGAUCUGAGGGCCGUUUCUGCAUAUGUGAUUCCAAGGGCUUGUUUUGGAAGCUCCUAUACAAAAGGAAAAGAGAUUUUCUCCAAGCUUAGAACCCUUCAGAAAACCAUCUCAUCUAAACGCAUGCACUUUGGCAUUCCUACUUAUGGGUCUCAUUAAAAAUGUUUUCAUGAAAAACAUAUUCAAAUAAGAUGCAGAAAGGAUUAUCUGAUUCAGAACGGAUUAACCAGAGUAUAAUUAUGAAGCAAAUAAAGGAGAAGAUGAGUACUUGAUUGAGUAUCCAGUCCACAAAAAAAGUCGACGAGUAUACCUGGAGAUAUGAGAAACAGAAAGCGAACACCAGUGAUGAAAUCGAUUAUGAAUGUUGAUGAAAAAAAUAACAUGUAAAAGAAAAAUAAGGGCACGGUUAUAUUUUGAAAUGAAGGGCAAAUUUGGAAAUUCAGUUAGAAGAUUUGAGCGGGAAAAAUGAAAGUGGAUGAACUAAAAGAACGCCACGUGGCGGGUUUUGUACUGUUUUAUUAUAAGAGAGGAUUUGGAAUAUUAACAUAUAUGUAUCAAAGGUGCAUCUCUACCUACUGCACCCUAAUUUAACAACUGAAUAAUUCAAUAAAUCAAUAAAUCAAUAAAUCAAUGGGACGU